GACGAACGCUGGCGGCGUGCCUAAUACAUGCAAGUUGAGCGAUGAAGAUUGGUGCUUGCACCAAUUUGAAGAGCAGCGAACGGGUGAGUAACGCGUGGGGAAUCUGCCUUUGAGCCGGGGACAACAUUUGGAAACGAAUGCUAAUACCGCAUAACAACUUUAAACAUAAGUUUUAAGUUUGAAAGAUGCAAUUGCAUCACUCAAAGAUGAUCCCGCGUUGUAUUAGCUAGUUGGUGAGGUAAAGGCUCACCAAGGCGAUGAUACAUAGCCGACCUGAGAGGGUGAUCGGCCACAUUGGGACUGAGACACGGCCCAAACUCCUACGGGAGGCAGCAGUAGGGAAUCUUCGGCAAUGGACGAAAGUCUGACCGAGCAACGCCGCGUGAGUGAAGAAGGUUUUCGGAUCGUAAAACUCUGUUGGUAGAGAAGAACGUUGGUGAGAGUGGAAAGCUCAUCAAGUGACGGUAACUACCCAGAAAGGGACGGCUAACUACGUG
rnacentral:rRNA from 1 species